rnacentral:rRNA from 1 species
UGCAAGUCGAGGGGCAGCGCGGGAUAGCAAUAGUCCUGGCGGCGACCGGCGGAAGGGUGCGUAACGCGUGUGCGACAUGCCCGUUGCCCGGGGACAACCGGUGGAAACGCCGACUAAUCCCCCGAUGGGAUAUUGUGCCGCAUGGCACGAUAUUGAAAGUUACGGCGGCGACGGAUUGGCUCGCGUCCGAUUAGCUUGUUGGCGGGGUAACGGCCCACCAAGGCUACGAUGGGGUAGGGGGUUCUGAGAGGAAGGUCCCCCCACAUUGGGAACUGAGACACGGUCCAAACUCC